AAAUGGCUGCUCCAUGGCCAUUUUGUUUUCCGUCUGGAAGGGGGAAGCCGGGACGCUGGGACUUGGCUCUUUUUUGGAGGCUGCAGCCAUAUUUGAGCCCAACUCUCCCGUCUCUACGUGGCACCGGCUGUAGCGAGAGAGAGAGAGAGAGAGAGAGAGAGAGGGAAAAAAAAGAAAAAAAAAAAAGGACCUUUUGGAACGAGCCCAAAGUCAGAGAGUGGGUAGUUUUGGCGUAUGUUGAGCACUGAAAAUGCCUGGAAUUGCCAAAGUGAGCUUUUGUGUUAGCAGCGUAAGGCUACUCGGUGCACGCAGAGUCGCAGGGCUGCACGGAAUAGCCGGACGGAAAGUGAUUCUGCAUUUCCUUCAGUAGCCUGGAUGUCUUGGAUUUGGUAGUCACGUCGUUUCGUUCAUGGACGCUCCGAGGAGUAGAUCUCUGUCCGGUGGCAUGGGGGGAUCGGGCUCUGAUAAGGCAGCAUUGUUGGAGUGAUCGUCCUACCUUUCCUUGAGUGGCUGUCCAGACAUGUGGAGAGAAGCAGACACUUUCAGAGAGGAGCUGGGAAGGAGAGCAGAAAGAGGUGAAAUCGCUUUUCUUGCACAGAAAGGAGCCGCAGAGGAGCAGAUGCCUGGACAAAGAUCAUCUCAGUGCCUCAGGCUGCCACGGUCCCAAGCUGUCCUUGAGGCUGAGGUAGUAGAUUGAAUAGUUGUGGAGUCUGGUCCUCCCUUUGAGCUAACUAUACAAUCUACUGUCUUUCCUAAGGAGACAGUCAGGUCUUCAGGUCUCAUCAUCUGCUUCUACACCAAGUUCUCAUCAUCUACUUCUACACCCAGCAUGGAGGCAGGUGGUGCAAGGAAAGCAAAUCUGUGAAUCUGCAGCGUCCCUGAGUCGGGCGAGUCCUCCGUUCUGCUCUGUGGAGAGCAGCAAAAACGCUGGAGGAGCUCCUGAGGCAUCGCUUCUUUCUGUUGAGGAUCCUAAAACACAGCGUGGCACUGUUGAACAGCUCAGUGGGUCUUCUCUUACAGCAGCCAGGAUUGCAUUCUUCCAGGAACUGCUCCGUGCCUCAGGCACAUGAGCAUGGAGGCACCUGCUUACAAACUCACCUCUGUUUAAUGGGUGCAGGAGAAACCGUGAAAUGGGUCUGUGCAUCAGCUCCUGGUGUUCAGUUCUACUCCCUUUUUGCAGGAGAUGAGCUCCAGUUGUGAAGUGUUUAAAUCUGUUGUUCUUUUCUGGUCUGUCAGGGCUGGAGGGGAGCAAAUGGGACAGAUUUGAGCUCACGACUUAAGUUGGUUUCACCCAGUUCUGAAGUUUGGGUUAAGAACUAAACCCAAGGGCAAGCUUAGCCUGUGGACUCAGAGCCCCGGGAGCUGAGCAGAUCUGGCUGCUUGGCCCCUGCUCAGGAAGUGCAUUUUGUUUUGGACAAGUUCCCAGCUGUCCCAUGGUAUGGAGUUACAGGGUGGUUCUUUGUGAUCUGAUAAUUCCUAUCAACAUAACUCACUGACAAGCAAACCCUGGCAAGGAGGUUUGGGCUCCUGGGUAUUUACACAGGAUAAGCCAACGAUUCAGACUAAAAACUUGUCCUAAAGUGAGACAAAUAAGGAAGAGACAUGAGCCAAAGGGAGCAAGUCCUAAUCUUUCUGGGUUCUCCCAGGCAGGUAGCACAUCUGACAACAGACAUGUGAGAAGAGGUCAUGCUUCAGAGCUCUGGCCCUUGGCAAGGAACAGGGAAUUGUUAAUUCCUCUUUCUUAGGAGCAGAUGGGACUAUCCCUCUGCCGUUUUCCGAAGUAAGCAGGAUCAAGAUCAUGAGUGGAGCUGUAACACGAUCAGGGCUGCACCAGUUCUACAAGACCAAAGGAUAUUUCAGGCCAUUAUCAGGACCAUCUCACUGCCAGGGAGACACGUGAGACCCGACACACCCGGGAGCGAGGGCGAGCAGAGGACACCUUCUCAGAUGAAGUGGGAGGGAGGGAGCUGCAAAGAGAAAUGGGAGCCCUCGAAUUUCACCCUGAGCAAACACACAGGGACAGCCAGACCUGACUGCUUGGGGCUGUGGGACUCCCCAGAAUGAAGCAGCUCGUUUAAGGCCCCUCUGCUGGGAUGGGGUGUAGCUGCAGCGAGGCUGGGACACAGCUGGUGGGUGGGGAUGCUGCAGUGUGUAGCAGGGAAGGAAUGCAGCCCUCUCUCCAUAAAUCUGGCUUUUCAGCACUCCUGGAGCCUUGCUGUGCAAAACUACAGCUUGGUCCUCUUAGCUGCAUUACUAUCCUCUAGCUGCUUGCUAAGGGGCAGAGCUCCUGCCCACAAACUGCUUGGAAGGUGCCAAUAUAGCACCACAAGCAUGGGAACAGAGUGGCAUAUCCACUUCAUUUUUAAGAACUAAAUCCCUCAAAAAGAACUAAUCCUGUGUGUCCCAGGUGGAAUCAGCUCAGUCCCCCUCCAUGGCAUCGAUGUUAAUGCAGAGAAUCUCAAGCAGUGAAACUGUGUGAGCUGGAAGCCAUGAAUAAAAUAUUACUGGAGAUACUCUCUUGUGAAAAUAAACUUGGUU